rnacentral:lncRNA from 1 species
GGAGAGGUUGCGUAAAGGUGCCGGCCUGCUGCUGGCCGGGGCUGGCAGCCUUUCAGCCGCCGCGGAUAAAGUUUGAACUUUUGCCGGGAGUGUCCCUCCAAAACGAUCAUCAAUCAGACAGAAUAGCUGCAAAUACCAACUCACAGACCAGGUUGGGAAUUAGGGUGAUAGGGUCUUGCUAUGUUGCCUCGGCUGGAAUGCAGUGGCUGUUCAUAGACAUUAUCACAGCACACUACAGUCUCAAACUCCUGGACUCAAGCAAUCCUCCUGCCUCAGCCUCCUGAGUAGCUAGGACUACUGGGAUGCACUACUGCUCUUGGCAAAUUAAGGAUUUUGAGAUGGAGAGACUAUCCUGGAUUAUCUGAUGGGCUUAAUCAUUGACAAAGGUUCUUAUAUAAGGAAAAGUCAAUGUGAUAAUGGAAGCAGAUUUGAAGAUGCUGUGCAACUGGCUUUGAAGAUGGAGGACGGGGCCACAAGCCAAGGAUUGUUGGCAGCCUCUAAGCUGGAAGAGGUAAGAAGCAUAUUCUCCUGUGGCACCUCCGGGAGAAAUGCAGUACUGCCUAUACCUUGACUUUAGCCAAGUGAAACUAAUUUUAGACUUCUCACCUCCAGAACUGUAAGAUAAUAAAUUUGUGUUGAUUUAAGACACUAUGUUUGUGGUAAUUGGUUACAGCAAUAGGAAACUAAUAGACCAGGCAUUAUGUUAAGUGCUUUAUAUCAUUAAAGAAAUGUAUACAAAUCCAC